rnacentral:lncRNA from 1 species
CAGAGAAUCGAAGAGGAGCGACAGCGAGCCAUCGAGCAGGAGAACAUACGUCUGGCGCAUCGCAUGGCCCACAUCAUGAGGGGAGAGCUACAUGACUUCUUCGGUUACAGGUGUGAUAGCCAACGCGGAAUCGUGCAAUGGCCCCGAGGUCACGGUAGAGGCGUCAGGGGGAGCGGUGGCACGAGAGGACCUACGUCCGCGCUCAGCAAUGCCCCUUCAGCAAAACACAAGUCACGAAACGCGGAAGCAGGAAAACCAUCGUCAGCGGCUUAUAAUCGACUUAUACAGCAUCGGGCUCCCUUGGGCAGAGUGAGAGUACCCAGGG